rnacentral:lncRNA from 1 species
GUGUGUAAAAGCACGUUCAGCACCACAAGAAAAUGACAUCUGAAAUAGUCCAUUCAUAGACACAAUUCUUUAUUUCUUUUAAAGUUACCAAAAAUGCCCACUUUUCUUCAGCUUUACCACCAAAUACAUAUAUGACAUCCACAUUUCCAGAUAAAUCAAUUCCAUCAAUUUUCAUAAUAGCAAGUGUUAUUUCAGUCAAAAUAUUCUUUGGUAUUUUUUAAAUCAAGGGAACAUACUAAAAAACUUUAAUUAAUAAUUUCAAGGCAAUUUUAGGCUUUGAAAGGGAUUUUCAUAAUGUGAUAAUCCCAGGAUGAUGCUAAAAAUAAGUGUACAUUCUAUUAAAACAAGAAUUUCCAGGAAAUAGUUUUAAAAGGUUUUUAAACCAUACUGUUUGGUGAAUUUUUAAUAGGUCUGAUUAAUAUUAAAUCUUUACUCUGCUAGAAAAUUUAAGAAAUUAACUCAUCUUCUGAAGAGUGUCUGUAAGAAAUGACCAGGGUCAACACAUUAUUAAAAGACCU